AUAUACGACCGUACCGCAAACCGACACUGGUGCGCGAGAUGAGUAUUCUAAGGCGCUUGAGAGAACUCAGGAGAAGGAACUCGGCAAAUUGACACCGUAACUUCGGAAGAAGGUGUGCCCUACUAGUGUGUAGUGAACAACGAAGCAUGAAUGGGUUGCAAAAAAUCGGUGGCUGCGACUGUUUAUUAAAAACACAGCACUCUGCAAACACGAAAGUGGACGUAUAGGGUGUGACCCUGCCCGGUGCUGGAAGAUUAAAUGAUGGGGUGCAAGCUCUUGAUUGAAGUCCCAGUAAACGGCGGCCGUAACUAUAACGGUCCUAAGGUAGCGAAAUUCCUUGUCGGGUAAGUUCCGACCUGCACGAAUGGCGUAACGAUGGCCACACUGUCUCCUCCUGAGACUCAGCGAAGUUGAAAUGUUUGUGAUGAUGCAAUCUCCCCGCGGAAAGACGGAAAGACCCCAUGAACCUUUACUGUAGCUUUGUAUUGGACUUUGAACAGAUCUGUGUAGGAUAGGUGGGAGGCUUUGAAGCAGGGUCGCUAGAUCUUGUGGAGCCAACGUUGAAAUACCACCCUGGUGUGUUUGAGGUUCUAACCUAGGUCCAUUAUCUGGAUCGGGGACAGUGCAUGGUAGGCAGUUUGACUGGGGCGGUCUCCUCCCAAAGCGUAACGGAGGAGUUCGAAGGUACGCUAGUUACGGUCGGACAUCGUGACGAUAGUGCAAUGGCAUAAGCGUGCUUAACUGCGAGACUGACAAGUCGAGCAGAUGCGAAAGCAGGACAUAGUGAUCCGGUGGUUCUGUAUGGAAGGGCCAUCGCUCAACGGAUAAAAGGUACUCUGGGGAUAACAGGCUGAUACCGCCCAAGAGUUCAUAUCGACGGCGGUGUUUGGCACCUCGAUGUCGGCUCAUCUCAUCCUGGGGCUGUAGCCGGUCCCAAGGGUAUGGCUGUUCGCCAUUUAAAGAGGUACGUGAGCUGGGUUUAAAACGUCGUGAGACAGUUUGGUCCCUAUCUUCCGUGGGCGCUGCAGAUUUGAGGAAGCCUGCUCCUAGUACGAGAGGACCGGAGUGGACACACCUCUGGUGUAUCGGUUGUCACGCCAGUGGCAUUGCCGAGUAGCUAAGUGUGGAAGACAUAACCGCUGAAAGCAUCUAAGCGGGAAACUCGUUUCAAGAUGAGAUCUGCCGGGGCCUUGAGCCCCCUAAAGAGUCGUUCAAGACCAGGACGUUGAUAGGUCAGGUGUGGAAGCG
rnacentral:rRNA from 1 species